GAAUAUAUCUCCCCUACGCAUCCCUCCCACCCUUCCUCCGGUGCAAGCGCCACUAAAUCUCACCCUAACAUCCCUUCGCUUUGGGAGACGUGGCGAGACCGCCAGAGGGAUGCGGGCGGCCCCGUCUGCAUUAUUCCGCCCGGGAAGAAUACCGAAGCCCUUCCAAAUCUUCGCCUCUCGCAUUCCCAGCAGACGCGGCCGAGCGCUGAAGCAAGCAGCGCCCUCGGCCAUCAGCGCAUCUCCCUCCCGGCGGCCGCCGGCUCGGCCCGCAGAGACGCCGCGGAAGGCACCGCG
ensembl:lncRNA